rnacentral:rRNA from 1 species
CGGGAAAAGCUCAAAUUUAAAAUCUGGCAGUCUUUGGCUGUCCGAGUUGUAAUCUAGAGAAGCAUUAUCCGCGCUGGACCGUGUACAAGUCUCCUGGAAUGGAGCGUCAUAGAGGGUGAGAGCCCCGU